rnacentral:rRNA from 1 species
AUGACCAUCGGACUCGACGUGAGAGCUUCCACCGGCGUCGUGGUCUCAGACUCCAUCCUCCAGGCCAGCAUUACGAGCGUGCACCACGUGCUCAAGAUCCAAGGAUACUCAUCGGUGAUGAACAGCUUCCCCAUCGGCAAAGCCCUCCGAUCGGAAUCCUUCCGCGGUGGAGGCCGCACUAGCUGGCACAUCGACUUCUACCCCAACGGAGAAAGUCGCGAGAGCGGCGGUUUCGUGUCCAUCCAUGCUGUUCUUGAUGCUGCCUACCUCGCCGUGAAGGCAGAUAUCGGGUUCGACAUGCUCGACUCCACCGGGGAGCUGCUGCCGCGCUACGCUAAAGCUAGUAGCGACGUGUGCAAUUUUCGUCUCGUCGGCGCUUACCGGGGCUACGACAAAUUCAUCGCGAGGGAGGAGCUGAAACUCCUCGACUGUUUCUCGGUCAGGUGCAACAUCACAGUCAUGGAGUUCUUUGCGGGCGGUGCCACCCCUUGCCCUCGUCCUCUACGACCCGUCGUGCCACCGCCUGAUUGGCGUCGUGAGCUUUUGCAGAGCGAGCAGGGCGCAGACGUGAGGUUCCUAGUCGGCGGGGAGACUUUCGCCGCGCACCGCUGCGUGCUUGCGGCGCGGUCGCCGGUGUUCAAAGCAGAACUCUUUGGCGUGAUGAAAGAGAGCAGCGCCGCCGGCAUACGUAUCCACGGGAUGAGGCCCGAGGUAUUCAGGAAUCUGCUGCAAUUCGUGUACACCGAGGAACUGCCACCCGUGACAGAAGAAGAGGAGGAUGAGUCAGCUAUGGCCCAGCAUCUCCUGGAAGCCGCUGACAGGUAUGGCAUGGAGAGGCUCAAGCUGCUCUGUGAGGACAGGCUGUGCAAGCACAUUAAUGUCAGCACGGUGGUGACCACGCUGGUGCUAGCUGAGCAACAUGGCUGCCCCGGGCUCAAGGAGGCAUGCUUCUGGUUCCUCCUCAAUUCCUCUUCAACGACACUGGAGGCAGUCAUGGCAACUGAUGACUUCGACAAUAUUCUUAGUAACAGUUGUCCUAAUCUAUUGAAAGAGUUGAUGUCGAGGCUUGCUUCCUCUGCCUCUCUCCACGAUUGGCAAAUAAUUGAUCGAUUGGAGGAGGAAGACGACCUUACCCUCUGCACAACCGAAGGGGGUGAGCUCCCUGAACCGGCUCACGGCGUCUUGCCUUUGGGAGCGAGAGCACCAAAACGCAUGCGUCUUUAA